rnacentral:rRNA from 1 species
CCUACGGGUGGCAGCAGUGAGGAAUAUUGGUCAAUGGCCGAGAGGCUGAACCAGCCAAGUCGCGUGAGGGAAGAAUGUCCUAUGGAUUGUACACCUCUUUUGUCAAGGGACAAAAUCAGGCUCGAGAGCCUGACCGAGGGUACUUGAAGAAAAAGCAUCGGCUAACUCCGUGCCAGCAGCCGCGGUAAUACGGAGGAUGCGAGCGUUAUCCGGAUUUAUUGGGUUUCAAGGGUGCGUAGGCGGACUGUUAAGUCAGCGGUAAAAGCCCGGGGCUCAACCCCGGCGAGCCGUUGAAACUGGCUGUCUUGAGAUGUCGAGAGGUAUGCGGAAUGCGCAGUGUAGCGGUGAAAUGCUUAGAUAUUGCGCAGAACUCCGAUUGCGAAGGCAGCAUACCGGCGGCGAUCUGACGCUGAGGCACGAAAGCGUGGGUAUCGAACAGGAUUAGAUACCCGUGUAGUC